rnacentral:misc_RNA from 1 species
GGGGAGAUAAUUUCAUAAGUUCCUUUGAACUUGAGCAUUCCAUCCUGGUGAAUACCACUUUCAUGCGCAAAAGCAUUGGCUCCAACAAUAGCUUUGUGUGGUUGUACAUGCAGUCCAGAAUAUUCUGCUACCAUCUUGCUUGCCAAAACAAUAUGCUUGGUGUUGAUACCCGUAUAAAGUCCUCCCAUUAGUUCCUUGCGACACUUAAUUGC